AUUUGUAUCUCUUUGUUUUUCUAUGUUAAACCUCCUGUGUAGUCAAGGUUUCUUUCAUUGCAUGGCAGUAUUCCAAGAUGAUAAAAACAGUCUGGCUGAAAGAUUUUUUCCCCAUUUGCCAGGCAAAUGAUCCAUCUGAUGACAGGAAAUAGCAGAAGACUGUGGAAAAGUAUAGCAUUGGCUUGAAAACACAAAGCAAGCUGGCUUUAUUUAGGCAGGAAGCUGACCUUAAUGGUGAUGACAGAAACGUGGAAAUAACUCCAGGAGAAAAGGCACUUCGGUACACCAAAGAGAAUCGGGAUCAGAAAAAUCGGCUGAGAGAGAUAGAUGAAAAACUGAGAAAGAUGAAGGAAAAUGUAAUGAACAGGAGACUGAAGAUGUGACAGAAGAAUGUAAAGAAUCUUAAGCAAAGACUAACUGGGGUGCGCUUUUAAGAAAGCUGGUAAAUUAAGAAAGUCGGUAAAAAACUACAUUUUUCCCAAAUUCUUUGAAUUCAUUGAAUGCAUUAUAGAGACUAUUCCUCAAAUAAUGAUUUUAAUAUUUGUAUUCUCUCUUUCUGGAUUACAUAUCCUUGAUAUUUUUGAGACUUGUGGUAUAAUGAUUUAAUGGUUUUUCUUCAUUGAAAUUCCUGGGGAAAUUGUUUCUUAUGACUAAUCUUGCAACAUCAGGAAUACAUUAUGGAAACCAACAUUUUAUGUAUGUGUGUUAGGUUAAAACUAGUUGAAGUGCUACGAUUGUUUUGUAUUUGACUUUCUGUUACAACUCUAUUGUGAUUCAGACAGAUUUAAUCACCAUGAAUUUUUGUUUUGGCCCUGAUUUUCCUUCUUUCCUCCCCUCUAAUGCCUAUUAAGUAAGUACAACUGCCAUAGAAAGAAAUGAGUUUUCUCAAAAAAGCAAUUUAGGAUAGCCUUUACUAUCUUAUUAGCAAAGAUACUUUUCCUAAGCAGGACUUUGACUGAAUUAUUUGAUAUAUUACUUUCAGUUUGUUAUCUUCUUUCGGUGUUUGCCUUUUAGAAUGCAGCAAAUAAAGAUCAGCUACUUAAAAAAGUCUGUGGUACUAUUUUGAGAGAGAGGGUUUAGUUACAAGUCAGUAACCUGGAUUCAUGAGAAAAUUUUAUGUCAACGUUCCGUAUGAUGAAUUGGCAUUAGAACUAGAAGUUCAAUUUAUUUCUGAUUCAAAACAACCCGAGCUGACUGCUGUGCUGCCUUUAAUGAAAUUUGGAGGGCUGGCCCCAUGGCUGAGUGGUCAAGUUUGUGUGCUCUGCUUUGGAGGCCCAGGACUUCACUGGUUCGGAUCCUGGGCACAGACCUAGCAUGGCUGAUCAAGCCAUGCUGAGGUGGCGUCCCACAUAGCAGAGCCAGAAGGACCUACAACUAGAAUACACAACUACGUACUGGGGGGCUUUGGGGAGAAGAAUAAAGAAAAAGAAAAAAGAAGAUUGGCAACAGAUGUUUGCUUAGGUGCCAAUGUUCAAAAAAAAAAAAAAAAGAAAUUUGGAGUAAUGUAUAUGUAGCAUUAUUAUUUUUUCCUCGAACAUUUUCAUCUGCUGAUAUCGGACAAUUUUAGUGAUUGCUUACGUCAGAUUUCCUUGACUUUUUAAAAUGAAGAAUUCUAAAGCUACUAUUUUUAGAGGAAUUGAUAGGCAAUUUCUUUUUCGAGCCUCUUCUUUCAGUUUACAUUAAAAUAGCAAUGGUUCAUGCUGAUCUCAAUAUGCCACAGUGUAAUUUAUCUUGAUGUUAAGAGUUUUGCUGUGGGGUGCCAGCAGAAAUUAACAGUUGUGAUUUCAGAGUAUCAUAGGAAUAAUGUGUGUUGUAGGGUUUGGAUCAGAACAAUCCAAUGGGAGAGAUGAUAUGGGAAUUCAGAGUACUGACAAAGAGCAGCCAUUUUUGCCUAUCAGCCUUUCCGAGGAGCUCAGCCUUCUAAAGCCACGUGCUUCUGGUAUUUGAUGUGUGUGUGUGCGUAUAUGUGUGAAAGUGGGUGAGAGAGGGAGUGAGGGAGAGAGUUUGGGAGGGAUGGGGAGAACUUAUGGCUUUAUAAUAUAUUUCUGAUGGUAUUUGGGGAAUAGUGAGCAUAUAUGUUACAGGAGUUUCAGAGAGAGAGGAAGGAAGACAGAAUGAUCUCAAGUAAUGAAUUUUCCCAUUGAAAGAGGUGACACUAUUCCAGAGCAUGUCAACUGAAGGUACCUCUAACAAGGACUGGUAGACUGAAUUUAUAAUUAUUCAACACGAAGCCCCUAGAUUUUUUUUCAAGUUAAACUUUUAUUUUAUUUUAUUUUAUUGAGGU
rnacentral:lncRNA from 1 species